rnacentral:rRNA from 1 species
UACAGAGGUGGCAAGCGUUGUUCGGAAUUACUGGGCGUAAAGGGCGCGUAGGCGGUCUUCUAAGUCCUGUGUGAAAUCCCUCGGCUCAACUGAGGAACUGCACGGGAUACUGGAAGACUUGAGUUCGGGAGAGGGAAGCGGAAUUCCGGGUGUAGCGGUGAAAUGCGUAGAUAUCGGGAGGAACACCAAUGGCGAAGGCAGCUCGCUGGGACGUUACUGACGCUGAGACGCGAAAGCGUGGGGAGCAAACAGG